rnacentral:rRNA from 1 species
AACGAACGCUGGCGGCAGGCUUAACACAUGCAAGUCGAACGCACCUUUCGGGGUGAGUGGCAGACGGGUGAGUAACGCGUGGGAAUCUACCCUUCUCUACGGGAUAGCUCCGGGAAACUGGAAUUAAUACAGUAUACGUCCUGAGGGAGACAGAUUUAUCGGGGAAGGAUGGGCCCGCGUGGGAUUAGCCAGUUGGUGGGGUAAAGGCCUACCAAGGCGACGAUCCAUAGCUGGUCAAAGAGGAUGAUCAGCCACAGUGGGACUGAGACACGGCCCAAACUCCUACGGGGGGCAGCAGUGGGGAAUAUUGGACAAUGGGCGCAAGCCGGAUCCAGCCAUGCCGGGUGAGUGAUGAAGGCCCUAGGGUUGUAAAGCCCUUUCAGUGGGGACGAUAAUGACGGUACCCACAGAAGAAGCCCCGGCUAACUUCGUGCCAGCAGCCGCCGUAA